UACGUAGGGGGCAAGCGUUGUCCGGAUUUACUGGGCGUAAAGCGCCCGUAGGCGGGAGGGCAAGUCUGGCUUGAAAGCCCCCGGCUCAACCGGGGAAGGUGGCUGGAAACUGCUCUUCUGGAGGGCGGCAGAGGCGUGUGGAAUUCCUGGUGUAGCGGUGAAAUGCGUAGAGAUCAGGAGGAACACCCAUGGCGAAGGCAGCACGCUGGGCCGACCCUGACGCUGAGGGGCGAAAGCGUGGGGAGCGAACGGG
rnacentral:rRNA from 1 species